UACGGGGGGAGCAAGCGUUGUUCGGAUUUACUGGGCGUAAAGGGCGCGUAGGCGGUCGUGACAAGUCACUUGUGAAAUCUCCGGGCUUAACUCGGAACGGUCAAGUGAUACUGUCGGACUAGAGUACAGAAGGGGCAACUGGAAUUCUCGGUGUAGCGGUGAAAUGCGUAGAUAUCGAGAGGAACACCUGCGGCGAAGGCGGGUCUCUGGGCCGUAACUGACGCUGAGGAGCGAAAGCAUGGGGAGCGAACGGG
rnacentral:rRNA from 1 species